UUAUGCAAUCUAUACGGUGAAACUGCGAAUGGCUCAUUAAAUCAGUUAUCGUUUAUUUGAUAGUACCUUACUACUUGGAUAACCGUGGUAAUUCUAGAGCUAAUACAUGCUAAAAACCUCGACUUCGGAAGGGGUGUAUUUAUUAGAUAAAAAACCAAUGCCCUCCGGGGCUCCUUGGUGAUUCAUGAUAACUCGACGAAUCGCAUGGCCUUGCGCCGGCGAUGGUUCAUUCAAAUUUCUGCCCUAUCAACUUUCGAUGGUAGGAUAGUGGCCUACCAUGGUUUCAACGGGUAACGGGGAAUUAGGGUUCUAUUCCGGAGAGGGAGCCUGAGAAACGGCUACCACAUCCAAGGAAGGCAGCAGGCGCGCAAAUUACCCAAUCCCGACACGGGGAGGUAGUGACAAUAAAUACUGAUGCGGAGCUCUUUAGGGUUUCGCAAUUGGAAUGAGUACAAUUUAAAUCCCUUAACGAGGAACAAUUGGAGGGCAAGUCUGGUGCCAGCAGCCGCGGUAAUUCCAGCUCCAAUAGCGUAUAUUAAAGUUGUUGCGGUUAAAAAGCUCGUAGUUGAACCUUGGGCCUGGCUGGCCGGUCCGCCUCACCGCGUGCACUGGUCCGGCCGGGCCUUUCCUUCCGGGGAGCCGCAUGCCCUUCACUGGGUGUGCCGGGGAACCGGGACUUUUACUUUGAAAAAAUUAGAGUGUUCAAAGCAGGCAUAUGCUCGGAUACAUUAGCAUGGAAUAAUGGAAUAGGACGUGUGGUUCUAUUUUGUUGGUUUCUAGGACCGCCGUAAUG
rnacentral:rRNA from 1 species